AACCGCUCCAACGCCUUGCUAUCGGGCUUUAAUAGCCAGAGAGAUAAGUAUGGUUUGUGGCUAAGCAUGGUGGGGAGAGACUGUGAAACAAACACAGGCAAGCUGCUGUACACCUCUUCAGAAAUCUCCCAGACUGUUAUCUUGUCUCCACCACGUGGGAUUGCUGAGUUAACAUGAGGGGGGAAACGGAGGUACAUCUUCUUAUCGGCACAUAUAAACUCCAGGUGGUGUGAUGAAGAUUGGGCUUCUCUGGCAUGCCGUUGUCACGAUGAUAUGAACACUACCCUGAAUCUAUCCGCUGCCUUUGACACCGUAAACCAUCAGAUCCUCUCCACCCGCUCAUGGCUGGGCGGUUCAGGCUCUGUACAUACUUGGAUUGCAUCCUACCUGGCAGGCUGCUCCUACCAGGUGAUGUGGAGAGAAUCUGUCUGCACCACGUACUCUCACUACUAUUGUCCCCCAGUGCUCGGUUCUUGGCCCUCUUCUCUCUAUACACCAAGUCACUCGGCUCCGUCAUAUCCUCACAUGGUCUCUCCUAUUAUUGCAAUGACACUCAACUACCUCCCCACCUCCAAAUAUGUCAGCUUGAAUGCCGGCCCACCACAUCAACAAGACAGAGCUGCAGUUUCUCUCAGGGAAGGCCUGCUCACUCCAAGACCUCUCCAUCACGGUUGAUAACUUCACGGUUUCCCCCUCCCAGAGUGCAAAGAACCUGGACAACACCCUGUCGUUCUCUGCAAACAUCAAAGAAGUUACUCGCUCCUACAUGUUCAUGCUCUACAACAUACGUAGAGUACGACCCUACCUCACACAGGAAGCGGUGCAGGUCCUAAUCCAGGCACUUGUCAUCUCCCGUCUGGACUAGGCAGCUCCCGCUUAGCCCAGUCUUCUCUGUCCUGGCACCCCAAUGGUGGAACCAGGUAGAACAGAAGAGGCUCUGCCGUUCUUCAGAAAACAUCUGAAACCCUACCUCUUCAAAGUGUAUGUUAAAUAUUCCCACAGCAGAUGUGUACAGUUCUUUAUAGAAGUGGGAGAAUCUUUGAUUGAUUUGGGUUAGUAGUAAUUCCUGUUUCAGAUUCAAUAGUUGUUAUAUCAGCUAAUAGAUCAUUACUGGGUAGCUUAUUGACCAGCAAACAACUAGGACGAUUACCAUGGAAGUAAUGGUUUAGUUCAACUCUACAAAUGGAAAAUUCUGCUCUCUGGCUUGACUUUGGAAUGAGUAAUAGCUACCUGGUCUGAAGAGUGUUUGUUGAGAAUGCUGUAAUGCAGUUAACAACAUUUCCAAUUGUGAUAUCUUCUUUAAUUGUAAUUUAUUCAACUCCAAUGCAGUUGCAUUAUUUUGGUGGCAUCCCAUAGAAUCCAGCUAUCAUCGACUGAAUUUUUAUUGAUCAUUAUGAAUGAAUUUAGUUCAAAUUUAUCACAAUGUAGCAAUAAAGCGUUGAAAUUCCAUCUUGUGGCUCUUUUAGUAGAUUCUACGAUUUGAAGUUGGCAUUAGUAAGUAUGGUGGUCAGACAAGCUCAUGUCGAAUUUCUAUUUUCUUAAUUAAAGAAAAUAGAGGUGUCGAUAGUAUGAAAUCAAUUUGUGAGAAUGUUUUAUGCCUGUUUGAGUAGA
rnacentral:lncRNA from 1 species